rnacentral:tRNA from 2 species
GCCGAGGUGGCGGAAUUGGUAGACGCGCUGGCUUCAGGUGCCAGUGUCCGUUAGGACGUGGAGGUUCGAGUCCUCUCCUCGGCACCA